CUCGAGCUUCAGUUAUGUAAGGUUUAGAAAGUUUUAGGUAAGAAUUUGUUUUGCCUUUGGAGUAAUAAAGUAGUUUCUGUUCAUGUUGGCUACCAAAAGAAAAAAUAUUCAUCUGGCAAAGAGUCUAUAUAACAAUUUGCCCAAUUGAGUCAGGGAGCUUAAAUGAGAAAGUCAACUCUUAACUUUACAGAAAUGCAGCCAGGAAAAAUGUAGAGCUAAGAAACACACCUGGUGUGAGUUGCAUACUAAGUACGCUGAAACAGAAGUCACCUUGUUUUCUUGAAUAAGCUGGCAACUUUAGUUAAAGGCAAAUAAAACCAGUAUAUUUGUGUUUGAUUUUGUAAGAGUUAUUUGCAUAUGAAAAAUUGCAAAGGGAAUAUUGACAAGGCAACAAGUUUAUGUGUUGACACCAGCUUGGUGAAGACAAUUUCCAUAAUUAAUCAUGAAAUUCUUAAAUUAACAUGUUCAGUAGACAAAUUAAAAUGAAACUUAUGCAAAAAAAGGUAUCUUUAAGGAGUUUUUCUCUCACUAGUGCUCCUGGACAUCAUGAAUUCUUUCUGCUAGGGUAUGUCAAGGUAAACUAGGAAGCCAGAUCUAGACACCGAGCAGUAAAUUCAGUACUUCAUUCCUGCAGUGUUUGCAGUAAGUUUAUUCUGCCUAGUCAGUGACAAAUCUCUCUGGUUUAACUGAUGUUGCGUGAGCCCUGUCUAAUCUCAUUCUAGUUGGAAGACAGCAGAGAAAGAGUCUCCUCACUCUUGAAGGAGUCUCCUCCUAUUCUGGAGGCUACAGCAUGAUGACAGAUUGGAUGUGGAGGCUGCUCUGAGGUGCUGAACAAUGUACAGAUUGGCUGAAGAUGUUUCAUAUGGAAGUUGCAAAUUGUAUGGACCAUUAUUGACAGUAUUAACCAUUUUACAUGGAGAUAUGAAUAAUCAUUCCCUAUUCACUCCUCAGUCAGUUUUCCAAGCUGAAGAAUCCCAGCUGCUGGAGAACUGCAAGGAUAAGUAAUAGAGGGACUAUCUAAAAAGCUGAAGACCCAUGCAGUUAUUCAGUGGCAGGGAGUUAACUUGCAUAAUUCUGAAAAAAAAUAAGGGGGGUGGGUAGGCAGUGAACUGCAAGCCAUGCACAAUUAUAAAUCUUCCAAAAAAAAGGUCACACUGGCAGAAGCCAAAUCGUGCCUGUAAAUUGGGGAAAUUUCAGAGAAGAGAAGCAAAAUGUACUUUUAAGAGGAAAGGAUAAAAGAGCGAUACAACUUUGUUUAAACAUUGCCUCUGGAAGAAGCAAACACAGAAGCUUGUUCAGAAACCUUAGAAGGAUAUAAACACAUAAACAAACUGGUCUCGGAAAAAUCUGAAAAAAAUCAGAGAUCAUGUUGGGAAAAAAGAAAGUUUAUGUAACUGUGCAAUAAUCUGCAGUGGAAGCCUUUUACUCUAAUCUUGAAAGUGAAGUUUGAUUAUGUAUUAAAGAAAUAUACUGUAAAAAAUGCUCUUACAUUGAUAGAAGGCAUGACCUGACAAGAUUUUUGCCAUCUGAUUUCUACAGCUCUUUGAUUUUAAUUGAUAGAAUCCAUUUUAGUAGAAAAAACUCUCCAACCUUCAUACCACAACCAAAGUGAAACUCUGUGAAAAAAUAUUUGCAGCAGUAAUUUGUUUUAAAUCAAUUUUACUUUGUGCUAAUCAUGUAUAGCUUUUCUGUGUAAUUCCAGAACAACUUUAAACUCUGCUGAGGGACAAAAAUAGAAUUCUGAAGAAUAAUUUCCAUACACCAGCACACACUAAUCUGCUGGCACCAGGAAAGAGCUGCUCCUGCUAAACAACUAAUAAAAUCUCUCUCUGUCUCUGUAAAAUGAGAAA